rnacentral:rRNA from 1 species
GGNNNNGCAUGNGCCNAGGACAUCAUCUGGAACGGUGGCUAAUACCGGAUGUGCCGAAAGGUGAAAGAUUUAUUGCCUGAAGAUGAGCUCGCGUCUGAUUAGCUAGUAGGUGUGGUAAGAGCGCACCUAGGCGACGAUCAGUAGCUGGUCUGAGAGGAUGAUCAGCCACACUGGGACUGAGACACGGCCCAGACUCCUACGGGAGGCAGCAGUGGGGAAUUUUCCGCAAUGGGCGAAAGCCUGACGGAGCAAUACCGCGUGAGGGAGGAAGGCUCUUGGGUUGUAAACCUCUUUUCUCAGGGAAGAACUUAAUGACGGUACCUGAGGAAUAAGCAUCGGCUAACUCCGUGCCAGCAGCCGCGGUAAUACGGAGGAUGCAAGCGUUAUCCGGAAUGAUUGGGCGUAAAGCGUCCGCAGGUGGCUAUGUAAGUCUGCUGUUAAAGAGUGAGGCUCAACCUCAUAAGAGCAGUGGAAACUACAUAGCUAGAGUGCGUUCGGGGCAGAGGGAAUUCCUGGUGUAGCGGUGAAAUGCGUAGAGAUCAGGAAGAACACCGGUGGCGAAAGCGCUCUGCUAGGCCGCAACUGACACUGAGGGACGAAAGCUAGGGGAGCGAAUGGGAUUAGAUAUCCANCUGUAGGUGCNUGAGGACUGGCUGAACAAAUCGGUACUAAUGGGAAUUAAGAUACCCCUGGGGCACAGGGUUUNGCUAUCUUCCAUCCCAAG